GUUGAGUGCUUGUCUGAAUAUUUUUUCUAUCAGUAAGAAUCGUUCACACUUUUGAGCGAGCAAAAAUGGCACUCUGGCUAAACAUCAUAUCCUUGUUAGUUUUCCUUGGAGGUGCCCAAUCUGAGGUUCAGUUGGUGGAAACUGGAGGGGAUGUGAGAAGACCUGGAGAAUCCCUCCGUCUCUCCUGCCAAGGAUCUGGAUUCACCUUCAGCAGCUACUGGAUGAGCUGGAUAAGACAGGCUCCAGGGAAAGGAGUGGAAUGGGUGGCAAGGAUACGCAAUGAUGCCGCAUAUACUUACUACCCUGACAAAGUGAAGGGCCGCUUCACCAUCUCCAGGGACAAUGCCAAAAGCCAGCUGUAUCUGCAAAUGAACAGCCUCAAAGCUGAAGACACGGCAGUCUAUUACUGUGUGAGAGACACAGUAGACCUGAGCAAUGAGUUAAAACAAAAGCAGGAUUGUGUGGGAUGGUGA